rnacentral:lncRNA from 1 species
AUGGUUGUGUUGAUUGUAUUUCUUGUUCCUCUAUAAUGACCCCUUUCUCUGGUUGUUUAUUCACUACAAACCUUGCAUUUACUUUGUUAUUUAUUCAUGUGACUUGAGUGAAGUCUACUCAGUGUGACUCGAGACAAGGCUAUACAAAGUAUUGAUUUUUCUAGUGGAGCCAAAAAUAGUAUUGAUUUAUGGAGCUGUGAUUUUGAACUUGUAUUUUGUGAAUAUUUCUUAGUCAAGGAAAAUGAACAUUAUGUUUAGAUUUUAAAGAAGAAUUAUGCUUAUCUUGAUUAGAAAUGUGUAUUAUCAAAUUAUUUGUCAUCAUAGGUUUGGCUUUAGAUCACUUUUGUGGAUUGUUCACUUGACGUGAACUACACGUUGUUAAUUCACAGCUCCCAAACCAUGCGGUCGCGGCAAGGCCUAGGCUAGGCAGUGCCUGCCCGAUCUUUACAGGUGGCCCCACCUGGGCCGAUUCAGUUUGAAUAAACAAUCAGAGCAAGGGA